rnacentral:rRNA from 1 species
UACGGAGGAUGCGAGCGUUAUCCGGAUUUAUUGGGUUUAAAGGGUGCGUAGGCGGAUUUUUAAGUCAGCGGUAAAAUGUCCGGGCUCAACCCGGGCCGGCCGUUGAAACUGGGGAUCUUGAGUGGGCGAGAAGUAUGGGGAAUGCGUGGUGUAGCGGUGAAAUGCAUAGAUAUCACGCAGAACUCCGAUUGCGAAGGCAGCAUACCGGCGCCCGACUGACGCUGAGGCACGAAAGCGUGGGGAUCGAACAGG